rnacentral:tRNA from 1 species
AUUUAUAUAGUUUAAUAUCAAAACAUUACAUUUUCAUUGUAAAAAUAAAUUCAAUAACAUUUUAUAAAUA